GGAAUUUGGAGGAAUUCGGAACAACACACGAGCUGCCAAAGACGGAAAAUUUUGGAUCGGAUAACAGAAAUUUUGGAAUUUCCAUUCCAAUAACAGCCCUAUUUGUCAUUAUUAAAUGAGUUGUUAUUUUAUCCAUUCCACAUUUGGUUCACAUGUACACAUUAUUAUGUCAAUACAACAAAGUUUUCACUGGAUCCUUAUCAAUUU
rnacentral:misc_RNA from 1 species